AGCAGCCGCGGUAAUUCCAGCUCCAAUAGCGUAUAUUAAAGUUGUUGCAGUUAAAAAGCUCGUAGUUGAAUUUCAGGCCUGGCUGGACGGUCCGCCUUUUGGGUGAGUACUGUCUGUGGUCGGGUCCUACCUUCUGGCGAAGCGUCAUGGCCUUAACCGGCCGUGGCGGGGAACCAGGACUUUUACUGUGGAAAAAUUAGAGUGUUCAAAGCAGGCAGUCGCUUGGAUACAUUAGCAUGGAAUAAUGGAAUAGGACAAUGGUUCUAUUUGUUGGUUUCUAGGACCGUUGUAAUGAUUAAUAGGGAUAGUUGGGGGCAUUAGUAUUCAAUUGUCAGAGGUGAAAUUCUUGGAUUUAUUGAAGACUAACUACUGCGAAAGCAUUUGCCAAGGAUGUUUUCAUUAAUCAAGAACGAAGUUAGGGGAUCGAAGACGAUCAGAUACCGUCGUAGUCUUAACCAUAAACUAUGCCGACUAGGAAUCGGGCGAUGUUGACAAAAUGACGCGCUCGGCACCUCAUGGG
rnacentral:rRNA from 1 species